rnacentral:rRNA from 1 species
GACGAACGCUGGCGGCGUGCCUAACACAUGCAAGUCGAGCGGAGACAGUGAGUAGCUUGCUACGAGCUGUUUUAGCGGCGGACGGGUGAGUAACGCGUGAGCAACCUUUCCCAGACAGGGGAAUAACACACCGAAAGGUGUACUAAUACCGCAUAAGACCACGGGAUCACAUGGUUCUGGGGUAAAAGAUUUAUCGGUUUGGGGUGGGCUCGCGUCCGAUUAGGUAGUUGGUGAGGUAACGGCCCACCAAGCCGACGAUCGGUAGCCGACCUGAGAGGGUGAUCGGCCACAUUGGGACUGAGACACGGCCCAAACUCCUACGGGAGGCAGCAGUGGGGAAUAUUGGGCAAUGGAGGAAACUCUGACCCAGCAACGCCGCGUGGAGGAAGAAGGUUUUCGGAUCGUAAACUCCUGUCCUUGGAGACGAGUAGAAGACG